UUGGAGGGCAAGUCUGGUGCCAGCAGCCGCGGUAAUUCCAGCUCCAAUAGCGUAUAUUAAAGUUGUUGCAGUUAAAAAGCUCGUAGUUGAAUUUCGGGGUCAGUAGGCUGGUCGUGCCUCAGGUACGUACUGGUCUUACUGAUUCCUCCUUCCUGACGAACCGUAAUGCCAUUAAUUUGGUGUUGCGGGGAAUCUGGACUGUCACUUUGAAAAAAUUAGAGUGUUUAAAGCAGGCUAACGCUUGAAUACAUUAGCAUGGAAUAAUGAAUAGGACGAUCGAUCCUAUUUUGUUGGUUUCUAGGAUUGACGUAAUGAUUAAUAGGGAUAGUUGGGGGCAUUAGUAUUCAAUUGUCAGAGGUGAAAUUCUUGGAUUUAUUGAAGACUAACUACUGCGAAAGCAUUUGCCAAGGAUGUUUUCAUUAAUCAAGAACGAAAGUUAGGGGAUCGAAGACGAUCAGAUACCGUCGUAGUCUUAACCAUAAACUAUGCCGACUAGGGAUCGGAUGAUGUUAAUUUUUUAAUGACUCAUUCGGCGCCUUACGGGAAACCAAAGUGUUUGGGUUC
rnacentral:rRNA from 1 species